UUCUGGCUCAGGAUGAACGCUAGCUACAGGCUUAACACAUGCAAGUCGAGGGGCAGCAUGACGAUAGCUUGCCAUUGUCGAUGGCGACCGGCGCACGGGUGAGUAACGCGUAUCCAACCUUCCCCUUAGUAGGGCAUAGCCCGGUGAAAAUCGGAUUAAUACCCUAUGUUAUUCGUCGAGGACAUCUGAAGUGAAUCAAAGAUUUAUCGCUAAGGGAUGGGGAUGCGUCUGAUUAGGUAGUCGGCGGGGUAACGGCCCACCGAGCCAUCGAUCAGUAGGGGUUCUGAGAGGAAGGUCCCCCACACUGGUACUGAGACACGGACCAGACUCCUACGGGAGGCAGCAGUGAGGAAUAUUGGUCAAUGGGCGCGAGCCUGAACCAGCCAAAAGUAGCGUGCAGGAUGACGGCCCUAUGGGUUGUAAACUGCUUUUAUACGGGGAUAAAGUGAGGGACGUGUCCCUUUUUGUAGGUACCGUAUGAAUAAGGACCGGCUAAUUCCGUGCCAGCCGCGGC
rnacentral:rRNA from 1 species